AGCGAACGCUGGCGGCAGGCCUAACACAUGCAAGUCGAACGAACCUUUCGGGGUUAGUGGCGGACGGGUGAGUAACACGUGGGAACGUGCCUUUAGGUUCGGAAUAACUCAGGGAAACUUGUGCUAAUACCGAAUGUGCCCUUCGGGGGAAAGAUUUGUCGCCUUUAGAGCGGCCCGCGUCUGAUUAGCUAGUUGGUUGAGGUAAUGGCUCACCAAGGCGACGAUCAGUAGCUGGUCUGAGAGGAUGAUCAGCCACAUUGGGACUGAGACACGGCCCAAAAUCCUACGGGAGGCAGCAGUGGGGAAUCUUGCGCAAUGGGCGAAAGCCUGACGCAGCCAUGCCGCGUGAAUGAUGAAGGUCUUAGGAUUGUAAAAUUCUUUCACCGGGGACGAUAAUGACGGUACCCGGAGAAGAAGCCCCGGCUAACUUCGUG
rnacentral:rRNA from 1 species